AUGGAGGAGAUGCCAAGCGAGAAGAAACAAAGUGAAUCUGGAUCAAUUAAUUGCGCACCUAGUUCAAGCAGCAGCCAGGGCAUUCCCAAUUCACUGGUGAAUAAAGAUGAAGACCUCGCUAUUGGGGUGGUAACAGAGUUAAAGAAGGAGGGGACGCCCAUUGAACAGAAGGAGGAAAGGGCGUCAACGGCUAUUGACUUGAAGGAGGAGGGUACAGCCACCCAACUGAAGGAGGAAGGGGCUUCCAAGGAGGAUGAGGCAGCUGUUGACUCCAAGGAAGAGGGGGCGAAAACCGAAUUGGAGGAAAAGAUGAUGUUAUCCCAGAAGAGAGACUAUGAGAAGGCUAUCGAACUUAAGGGAGAGGGGACAAAGCUAUUCCAGAGGCGGGAUUAUGAGGGGGCGGCCCUUGAGUUUGAUAAGGCAAUAAAGCUCUUGCCAAAGGGGCACGAUGAUAUCGCCUUCCUCCACUGCAAUAUUGCUGCAUGUUACAUGCAUAUGAAACCUGAGAGUUAUGAACGAGCGGUUGACGAGUGCAACGCAGCACUGGAAGCAUCGCCGAAGUAUACAAAUGCAUUGCUGAAAAGGGCACGAUGCUUUGAAGCAUUGGAUAGGCUGGAUCUGGCUUGUGAGGAUGUGCAGAAGGUGCUGAACUUGGAACCAAACAAUGUCACUGCAUUGGAGCUCUACGAGAGCCUUAGGGAGGAGAUGGAGACAGAAAAUUUGUUGGAGAAUCAGGUUGUGUCACCGGUAGAGCCUAAGGCCGGUUUUUCAAAAGAGAAGAUCCAGAGGAAAGUAUCUCGCAGAUUUAGAAACAAUUCCAUAGUUGAGGAGGUGUGGUUGAUUCACGAUGAUGAUGAGCAAGAGAAUGAUGAAGAUGGCAACGAAGAAGAGUGCAGUGAAGAAAACCACAUGGAGAAUGAUUUAAGCAAUGAAGGAAAUGAUACCCGGGAGAUGCCAUCGAGGCAUAAUCAUGACGAGGAUAAAUGGAACACGGAACAGAACCAGGUGAAGCAUGGUCAGCACAAACUAGGAGCAGAUGAUGAAGGCCAACGACCGCAGCAUGCUCCGCGGGAUGUGGAACAAAUGCACCACAAAGAAACAGAGAGUCAAAAUAAGCAUGAAAAGCCCCUCAAAGAGAUAAAGGUGAGAAGUGGUCAGGAUCAGCAGGUAAUGCAUACAAAGCAGAAUCAAGUCGCCGAUAUGGAUGUGCGUCAAAAGCAAAUUGAGGAUGUACCAACCACUAGUCGUAGCAACCAAGAAAUUCACACUGAAAUGUAUGAAAGGUUUAUCAAUGGCAACCAAGCAAGACGCUCCUUACAGCGGCAUACUAGUCGUGGAGGGGACAAGCAGGAAAAGCAAACUUCAGUUAAAGUAGCAAGUCCUGGGGGAGAUGAGCACCAAAAACAGAAGCGCGCAUAUCCUACCGAUGGAGAAACAAAGACUGUAAAGUUUGUUAUGGGAGAUGACAUAAGGAUUGCACUUGUUCCAGAAGACUGUAGUCUACGGCAAGCGAUAAACGUAGCUCGGUGUAAGUACAGUCCCCACCUGAAGGCAAUGCUUCUUAAGUUUCAGGACAUAGAGGGUGACUUGGUGACCAUUACAUCAACUGAGGAACUAAGGUGGGUUGAGGAUCUGAAGCAAGGACCCGCUCGGCUGUACAUAAAAGAAGUAAGUCCUGAGCGCGAGAUCACCAAGGACAUCGUCAUGCCCAAUAUUUCUACGGCAACACUGGAAAGAAAGCAUAGCAUCUCUGAGUGCGGAAGCGCUAGACACCCAGCAGAAGACAAGAGCUCAUCAUAUGCUGAUGACUGGAUGGUGCAGUUCGCUCGUUUAUUCAAGAACCAUGUUGGUUUUGAUUCUGAUGCAUUAGUGGAUCUCCGUGACCUCGGUACGCGGCUCUGCAUUGAGGCAAUGGAAGACACCAUCACAAGCGAAGAAGCCCAGGAGAUAUUUCAUGCCGCAGAGGCAAAAUUUCAGGAAAUGGCAGCUUUAGCAUUGUUUAACUGGGGCAACAUACACAUGUCUCGCGCAAAGAAACGACUAUUUUUAUCAGAGGAUGCUUCAAAGGACUCUGUACUUUCCCAGGUCAAAACCGCAUAUGAACUGGCAUGCGCUGAAUACGCCAAAGCUGGAAAGAAGUUUGAAGAUACUGUGGAUGUAAAGCCAGACUUUUAUGAAGGCCUUAUUGCGCUUGGAAAUCAACAGUUUGAGCAAGCAAAACUUUCUUGGCGUUAUGCAGAUGCUUGUAAGGUAGACAUGCGAACUGAAGUACUAGAGCUAUUCAAUCGUGCUGAGGAUAAUAUGGAAAAAGGAAUGGAGAUGUGGGAGGGAAUAGAAUACUUGCGACUAAAAGGGUUAUCUAAAUCAAAAAAGGAGAAAAUCCUACUGGAUAAGUUGGGAUUGGAUGGGCACCAAAAAGAUAUAACAGCAGAUGAGGCGUUUGAGCAAGCUUCAAAUAUGCGAUCACAGCUAAACAUUUCAUGGGCUACCAUUCUUUAUGAGCGAUCAGUAGUAGAAUUCCAGUUAGGUCUUGCUAGCUGGGAGGAGAGUCUCACCGAAGCAAUUGAGAAAUUUAAGACCGGUGGAGCUUCGCUGGCAGAUAUCAGUGUAAUGAUAAAGAACCAUUGUGCGAAUGAGAAAACUCAAGAAGGAUUGAGCUUCAAGAUUGAUGAGAUAGUUCAAGCAUGGAACGAAAUGUACGAUGCUAAAAAGUUGGAAAAUGGUAGUUCUUCUUUCCGUCUUGAACCUUUAUUUCGAAGACAGCCUUCGAAGCUGCAUAAUGUACUAGAGCACAUAAAGUACACAUGA
rnacentral:rRNA from 1 species